CCAUGAUGUCCCUGUAUCGCAUUAUAUAGGUGCAAUAAACCAUCUUAUCUCGUCUUAGCAAGGCUGUUUGCUGUGGAUGAAGGCCAACCGUAAUAUCUUUCAUUUAUAGCUUCUCGCAACAUGUGCAAGGCCAACCUAUCAGAUAAAACAUGAAUUUCUACAACCAGUCCAACACCCAGGUGAUAGUCACCACCACUGCCAUGAGUCAAAAGGCUGGGGAAUGGAGUACCGACAUCUGUGGCUGCUGCUCUGAUAUGAACACCUGUUGCUUCGGAUGUUGGUGUUUCCCCUGCAUGCAAUGUCAGACAGCCAGUAAACAUGGAUGGUGCUGCGGCAUGCCACUGCUGGACUGUUGCUGUGUGGUGUCCUGCUUACUGCGCAAUUCUGUCAGAGAGCGCUACAACAUCCCUGGCUCUUGCUGUGAUGACUGCUGCAAAAUAUUCUGGUGUUAUCAUUGUGUCUGGUGCCAGAUGAAUCGUGAGCUGAAGAUCAGGGAAAACCAGCAGCCUGCCAAUACGACAGUGGUCACCACGCAGGUCUUCAGUAG